GGGGGACAGAGUGACAGGUGGUGCAUGGUUGUCGUCAGCUCGUGUCGUGAGAUGUUGGGUUAAGUCCCGCAACGAGCGCAACCCUUGAUCUUAGUUGCCAGCAUUCAGUUGGGCACUCUAAGGUGACUGCCGGUGACAAACCGGAGGAAGGUGGGGAUGACGUCAAAUCAUCAUGCCCCUUAUGACCUGGGCUACACACGUGCUACAAUGGAUGGUACAAAGGGCAGCAAAACCGCGAGGUCGAGCAAAUCCCAUAAAACCAUUCUCAGUUCGGAUUGUAGGCUGCAACUCGCCUACAUGAAGCUGGAAUCGCUAGUAAUCGCGGAUCAGCAUGCCGCGGUGAAUACGUUCCCGGGCCUUGUACACACCGCCCGUCACACCACGAGAGUUUGUAACACCCGAAGUCGGUGGGGUAAC
rnacentral:rRNA from 2 species